CUGCUGCCUCCCGUAGGAGUUUGGACCGUGUCUCAGUUCCAAUGUGGGGGACCUUCCUCUCAGAACCCCUACGCAUCGUCGGCUUGGUGAGCCGUUGCCCCACCAACUACCUAAUGCGCCGCAUGCCCAUCCGUGACCGGGGUCGCCCCCUUUGGCCGGCAGGGGAUGUCCCCUCCCGGCAUUAUGUUGUAUUAGGCGGGAUUUCUCCCGGUUAUCCAUCUGUCACGGCCAGGUUGCAUACGUGUUACUCACCCGUGCGCCGGUCGCCGG
rnacentral:rRNA from 1 species